GCCCGAAUAGUUCAACGGAUAGAACGGAGGUUUCCUAAACCUCAAAUCUGUGUUCGAUUCACAGUUCGGGUA
rnacentral:tRNA from 1 species